GAUUAACGCUGGCGGCGUGCAUAACACAUGCAAGUCGAACGAUGAAACUCAUUAGAUUUCUUCGGAAUGAAAUUGAAUGGUUUAGUGGCGAACGGGUGAGUAACGCGUGAGUAACCUGCCUUACACAAGGGGAUAGCCUCUGGAAACGGAGAAUAAUACCCUAUGAAACCAGACAAUCGCAUGAUAAUCUGGUCAAAAUGUUUAGUGGUGUAAGAUGGACUUGCGUCUGAUUAGCUAGUUGGUGAGAUAAAAGCUCACCAAGGCAACGAUCAGUAGCCGGCUUGAGAGAGUGUACGGCCACAUUGGGACUGAGACACGGCCCAGACUCCGACGGGAGGCAGCAGUGGGGAAUUUUGCACAAUGGGGGAAACCCUGAUGCAGCGACGCCGCGUGAUUUAGAAGGCCUUCGGGUUGUAAAAAUCUUUUGUAUAGGAAGAAAAUGACAGUACUAUACGAAUAAGGUCCGGCUAAUUACGUG
rnacentral:rRNA from 1 species